AUUUUCUUAGCUUAACAGGUAGAGCUAAAGUCUUCUAAACUUUAUGUAGUGGUUCAAUCCCACUAGGAAAUU
rnacentral:tRNA from 1 species